CUCUGCAGCUAGCUUGAGCAUAAGCCUAAUGCUUUCAUAUCUCACUGUGGGUGAAUAGGUCUCGUGAUAGUCUUGACCUGGUACCUGUGCAAAACCUCUGGCUACCAAUCUGGCUUUGUGUCUGACUAUCUUGCCAUUUUGAUCUGUCUUCGCUUUGAAGACCCAUUUGCUUCCAAGCAGUUUCAUUCCUGGAACUACUGGAACUAGCUCCCAUGUUUUGUUCCUUUCUAAGGAAUCAAGCUCAGCCUUCAUGGCAUUUAACCAUGGCUCAGCUUCCUUUGAAUCCAAACCCUGGAUUUCUUGGAAACUUGAAGGUUCAAAUACCUUCUUGGAGCUUUUAACAGCUGUUACUGCUAUCUCAGCAAACUCAUCAGCAAAUCUCUUUGGAGGUUUGCUUUUUGUGGCUCUCUGUGACCUACGAAUUAGCCUUAAGUCUUCAACACUCUCCUCUUCCUUCUUAGGAGAAAAACGACCUAUUGUGAACAAUGGUUCCUCCAAUUCUUGAUCAGAGCUUUCAGAGG